ensembl:snoRNA SNORD24 Small nucleolar RNA SNORD24
UGCAGAUGAUGUGAAAUAUUUGCUAUCUGAUUGUGAUGACAUUUCCACCAAGAUCACUGAUGCA